AGAGUUUGAUCAUGGCUCAGAACGAACGCUGGCGGCGUGCCUAACACAUGCAAGUCGAGCGAGAAAGGGGAGCAAUCCCUGAGUAAAGCGGCAGACGGGUGAGUAACACGUGGGUAAUCUGCCCUCGAGCGGGGAAUAACAUCUCGAAAGAGGUGCUAAUACCGCAUAACGUCCAGAGGCCUGAGGGCCAUUGGACCAAAGGUGGGGAUCUUCGGACCUACCACUCGAGGAGGAGCCCGCGCCUGAUUAGCUAGUUGGUGGGGUAACGGCCUACCAAGGCGACGAUCAGUAGCCGGCCUGAGAGGGUGAACGGCCACACUGGAACUGAGACACGGUCCAGACUCCUACGGGAGGCAGCAGUGAGGAAUUUUGCGCAAUGGGCGAAAGCCUGACGCAGCAACGCCGCGUGGACGAUGAAGGUCUUCGGAUCGUAAAGUCCUGUCGAGUGGGAAGAAAAAUAUCGGUUCUAAUAAAACCGGUAUUCGACUGUACCACCAAAGGAAGCCCCGGCUAACUCCGUGCCAGCAGCCGCGGUAAUACGGAGGGGGCUAGCGUUGUUCGGAAUUAUUGGGCGUAAAGGGCGCGUAGGCGGCCGAAUAAGUCUGAUGUGAAAUCCCUCGGCUCAACCGGGGAACUGCAUUUGAAACUGUUCGGCUCGAGUCCGGGAGAGGGUAGUGGAAUUCCCAGUGUAGCGGUGAAAUGCGUAGAUAUUGGGAGGAACACCGGUGGCGAAGGCGGCUACCUGGACCGGUACUGNNGCUGAGGCGCGAAAGCUAGGGUAGCAAACAGGAUUAGAUACCCUAGUAGUCC
rnacentral:rRNA from 1 species